UUCUGUGUGGUGAAAAGGAGGCACUGGCAGGAAAUGAAGGCAGGGCAAGUCACACUCCUUUCUGAAGGGACGGUGGCCUUGGAGGCAGGAAAAACAUUAUAGGAAUCUCUUCACCGUUAAACUCCUAAUGGCACUGAAAGGAUUCCAUGUGUGUGCACAGUUGGUAUUUAUCCAGCUUUGGACUUAACAGUAGACAAAGAAACAUUGGGAGUGACCCUAAGGAGAAUCACAUGGACAGCCACAACCGUACAAGAUCUUGAAGUUAUUAAGUGGAGCAGUUGUCUCCAAGCUUGAGGAGUACAGCAUCUCAGGGAAAAGGGAGACCAAACCAUUUCAUUCUCACGGGAGAGCACAUGGCAAAAGACUUGAAAUGCACCGCGAGGAACUUAAUAGAGAAAUCAAGAUAUGACAUUGGAUUGAAUGUUCACCAGGUUCCAGAGCUGGCACAGAUCCCUUCCCAGAGGUCUCCGGGAUGUAUCGUUAACAGCAUUCAAGGGGGACCUUGGGGCGUAAACACUGCUGAUUGUGGUGAGGGCUGUUUGCGAGAGAACAGUUGGCCAAUAGCUACGGUAGCCGAGGGGCGGCUGUGCACCUCCCCACAGCUGCAGAGCAAGCCUCUUGCCAGCUAAAUUGAGCUGAUUGGACACAACGCGGUUGUUUGUAAGCCCCAGAGAGCCUUCCCACAUCCCAGCCCUGGGGCUGCUCACGGUAUUUCCUCUGGCCUUCAAGUUUAAACUCAAGAAAACUGGAAAAAUCCAUCUGGCGUGGGCUGGGUUUAGAAAUCUGGAAUGCAUGGUCCCUUCAAGAAGAGCAGAAAGGCCAAGUUGGUCUCUCAGAGUACUUUGUCCUGGGAAGUUCUGAGGCCUAAGACCUAUUUCCCUGUCCGCUUGAACUGAGUUGAGGGGUGAAAAAAGAAAUUGAUUAGAUGAGCUAUCUGCUGUGGGAAGUUUAGCUCCUUAGCCAGGUAGUGGCAUGUAUGAACCUAGUAGGUUUUGUUUUGUUUUGUUUUGUUUUUGGGGCAGGGGAAGGGCAGAAGGGGAGUCAAUAAAUUAACUAUGUUAUCUGGAUUCAAGCAUAUCUCAGUCUCAUUAAAAAUCUAACCUGUG
rnacentral:lncRNA from 1 species